UUUUUUGAGAGUUUGAUCCUGGCUCAGGAUGAACGCUGGCGGUGUGCCUUAGGCAUGCAAGUCGGACGGUCCGAUUUAUCGGACAGUGGCAGACGGGUGAGUAACGCGUAGAUAUCUGCCUCAAAGUGGGGAAUAGCUCGCCGAAAGGCGGGGUAAUACCGCAUAUACCCUCCGGGGGAAAGCUUUUAGCGCUUUGAGAGGAGUCUGCGUCCUAUCAGGCUGUUGGUGGGGUAAUGGCCUACCAAACCGAUGACGGGUAGCCGGUGUGAGAGCACGACCGGCCACAAGGUCACUGAGACACGGGACCUACACCUACGGGUGGCAGCAACCGGGAAUAUUGCGCAAUGGGCGAAAGCCUGACGCAGCGACACCGCGUGUGGGAUGAAGUUCUUCGGAAUGUAAACUACUGUGGCAGGGGAAGAAUGAUGACUGUACCCUGCUAGAAAGCACCUGCUAACUACGUGCCAGAAGCCUCGGUAAUACGUAGGGUGCAAGCGUUAUCCGGAUUUACUGGGCGUAAAGAGUUCCGUCGGCGGCUGUGUCAGUCACUUGUUCAAACCUGGGGCUCAACUCCAGAUCAGCAAGUGAGACUACACAGAUUGAGUCUGUUCGGGGAAACUAGAAUUCUCGGUGGAGGGGUGAAAUCCGUUGAUAUCGAGAGGAAUACCAGUCGCGAAGGCGGGUUUCUAGAACAGUACUGACGCUCAGGGACGAAAGCUUGGGGAGCAAAAGGGAUUAGAGACCCCUGUAGUCCAAGCCGUAAACUAUGUCUGCUAGUUGCCUGGUCUCCUAAGAACAGGACAACACAUGUUUUUAGGUGACUGGGUGACGUAAGGUAACCCGUUAAGCAGACCGCCUGGGGAGUACGACCGCAAGGUUAAAACUCAAAGGAAUUGACGGGGGAGCGCACAACCGGUGGAGCAUGUGGUUUAAUUCGAUACAAAGCGAAAAACCUUACCUGGGUUUGACAUGUACCUGCAAACUCUUGGAAACAAGAGUCUCUUUCGAAGGUGGUACACAGGUGAUGCAUGGCUGUCGUCAGCUCGUGUCGUGAGACGUCCACUUAAGUGUGGUAACGAGCGCAACCCUUGCUGUCAGUUACAAGUGUCUGACAGGACUGCCCCGCUUUUGGCGGGGAGGAAGGAGAGGACGACGUCAAGUCAGCACGUCCCUUACAUCCAGGGCGACACACAUCCUACAAUGGAGCCGACAAUGGGUAGCGACGAGGCAACUCUGAGCCAAUCCUUUAAACGGCCCCUCAAUUCGGAUUGAAGGCUGCAAUUCGCCUUCAUGAAGCCGGAAUCGGUAGUAAUCGCAAAUCAGCAGGUUGCGGUGAAUACGUUCUCGCUCCUUGUACACACUGCCCGUCAAGCCAGCAAAGUCAGCAACGCCCGAAGCGGGUGACCAUAACCCUUGUGGAGUGGCCCUUCUACGGUGAGGCUGGUGAUGAGGACUAAGUCGUAACAAGGUAUCCGUACUGGAAGGUGCGGAUGGAUCACCUCCUUU
rfam:Microgenomates (Pacebacteria) bacterium GW2011_GWA1_46_10 TX28_C0002, whole genome shotgun sequence.